UACGGAGGGUGCAAGCGUUAUCCGGAUUCACUGGGUUUAAAGGGAGCGCGGGCGGAUUGGUAAGUCAGUGGUGAAAGCCUUAUGCUUAACUUGGGCACUGCCAUUGAUACUAUCAGUCUUGAAUAUUGUUGAGGUUUGCGGAAUGCGUCAUGUAGCGGUGAAAUGCAUAGAUAUGACCCGGAACACCUAUUGCGAAGGCAGCAGGCUAAACUAAGAUUGACGCUGAGGCUCGAAAGCGUGGGGAUCAAACAGG
rnacentral:rRNA from 1 species